AAGUAAAGAUGCUUUAGAGCAUUCACUGGUUAUUCAAUGCUUAAUAAUAACGGUAAUAAAUAAAAAUUUUUACAAGAGCAAUCCUGGAAGAAGCAUGAGAGGUAUCACAAAAUACAGCUCCUGGCUGAUGAAGCACCCUGUAACUGUGCAGGAAAGAGAGCAUGGUGUGACUGUACAAAAGCCCUUUAUUCCAACUACUGGAAGGAGUAGCUCAGACAUAUCCUUGGAGUACUGUCAGGUGAAAGAGUAACAGCAUUGAUCCAACCUCCUCCACCACUUUCUUUUUUUCCUAGUAGAUUCUCCUGAGGUGGCCCAAUUUCUGUCUUCUACUGGUAUUAUUAACUUGAGAAGUCUCCUUCUCUUCCCUAAUUUGUGGCUCAUGCUGGUGAAAUGAGCAAAAUCAGCUGUAGAUAAAUAACUCCUGUGACUUCUGUUUUCUGUCAGAGUGAGGUUAACAGCCCUCAGUCAUUGACAGCAUCAACACCUUGAUGGUUGUCAUAGGUUUACUUGUUCUAAAAAAACAGGCAGGAAAUUUUUCUUUCCCCUGCAUUGCUGUAAGGGGGGGAUGUUGAAAGGGGGAGGGUAGUUUUUGCCUUGGGUGAUUGACCCACACAAAAGAACUAACCAGCAGAUCCACAUUCCAAGCUGAUGGCCCUCCGAAGACUGGGGAGGGGUGAUGAGGUUUUUUUCCCUCUCCUCGGAAAUGGGAGGCACUUCACUUUUGCUCUGACUGUAGGGAGGGUGUGUGUUGGAGGGGUCCGAGGUUCACUUUGGUUUUGGCCUGGUCAUCUGGCUUGUUUUCUGGCCCCGGUGUGCCUCCGUUUUCCUGCGCCCUGUUCUGUCCCAGCUCAGAUCUGCUCGGAUUUCAUCGGAGAGGCUUGACCCACUUGCAGAGGAACCUUCUUGGGAGGAGGUUGCCCUUUCCCUCCUCCGUUCCCGUGUUGGCAGCGGCAUGUGUCCAUCGAGGAAAAGGGGGAAAUCCCGGCCACAGCCAGCCGCAAACAGCGGCUCAUUCUGGAAUGGAGAGGAUAGGCCAUGACAUCACAACGAGGCCCAUGGCACACGGGUGUGGCUGCUCUCUGCGGGUGUGGGUUGUUUGUUCUUUGUUUUCCAGAGGCCAUUACAGAAUGGAGAGGAUAGUCCGUGACAUCACAAAGGGGCUCAUACCACAGAGGUAAGGUUGCAAUGUGGGAGAGUGGGAUGUGUGUUCUUUGUAUUCCAGGGGCCUUUAGGAGCUGGAGAGGAUAGGCCGUGACAUCACAAAGAAGCCCAUGGCACACAGGUGAGGCUGCAUUCUGACAAUGUGGGGCGCUGGUUUUUGGGUUGACAGGGGCUAUUCUGGAAUGGAGAGGAUAGGCCAUGACAUCACAAAGUGGCCCAUGGCACACAGGUAAGAGUGCAAUGUGGAGGAGUGUUAUAUGUGUUCUUUGGUUUCUGGGGCCAUUCCAGAAUGGAGAGGAUAGGCUGUGACAUCACACAGGGGCCCAGGGCACACAGGUGGGGCUGCACUGUGAUAUUGUGAGGCGUUGGUUCUUUGGUUUCCAGGGGCCAUUCCCUAAUGGAUAGGAUAGACUAUUACAUCAGAAAGGAGCCUAAGGCACACAGGUGGGGCUGCCAUGUGUUAGUGUGGGGCAUUGAUUCUUUGGUUUCCUGGGGCCUUGCAGAAUGGAGAGGAUAAGCUGUGACAUCACAAAGGGGUGCCAGUUACAUGGGUUGGGCUGCUCUGUGGGGUGUGAGGUGCUGCCUCUUUGGUUGCCAGGGACAUUCUGGAAUGAUGGCAGUAGGCCGUGACAUCAAAAAGGGGCCCAUGAUACAUGGAUGGAGCUGCACUGUGCCACUGUGGGGUGUUUGUUCUUUGGUUGCAAGGGGCAAUUCCGGAAUGGAAAGUGUAGUUUGUGACAUCACAGUGAGGCCCAUGGUACACAGGUGGGGCUGUACUGUGGGGGAAUGCAGUGUUCCUUCUUUGGUUGCCAGUGUCAAUAGUCAAAUGAAGAUGCUAGGCCGUGACAUCACAAAGGUGCCCAUGGCACAUGGGUGGGGCUGUACUCUGGGGGUUUGUGGUGCUGGUUCUUUGGCUGAAAAGGGCCAUUCCGGAAUGGGGAGGACAGGUCGUGACAUCACAAAGGGGCCCAUGGCACAUGGGAGAGACUGCACUGUGACAUUUCGUGGCUCUGCUCCACUGGGAAUACAGACGGCCACUGCAAAAAAAUCACAAAGGCAAAGGCACAUACUGAGGGAUAACCUCAGAGUGCAACAUUCUGACCAAAGGUCCCCUCUCAGGUUCCUUUGUACUGACCUCUUACUGCAAGGACCUCCUUCCCAUUCUGCUGACGCUUGGAGGGUUGUGUACCACUGGGAAAAAAAAACAAAUGAUAAGGGAUGUGCUUAGAUUCACCAAUGAUACAGCCCGCCAGAAUUAACGUCUGCUUCAGACUGGCAGGAAAAUGCUCACCUUGCUCGUCUGCCCUCCGGUGCCUAUAGCCCGCCCCACCGCUUGCAUCCCACCUUGAAAGAGAGAACAAAAAGACACUCACAAGAAUGACCUUUGAAGAGCAGUGCCUGUCAGAACAAUCUUAUGUGGGUGAUAUUCUCUGCUCUGACCUGCAAACCCUAGUGCUGGGGUCGAAACUAAGACUCUCUGCUUCCCUCUCCUAAGGGAUUUGUUUUUAGACAUCUCUUUCCCUUAUGCUCAUUUCAAAAGCCCUCCUGGCAAUUCCCAAGCCUGUACCUGGCUCUCAUCCCCUCUCUGGCUCAGAGCCCUCGACUUAUCUUUCAGAGAGCUGGGCCUGUCAAUUCAUCUUCCAAAAGCAUGGCCCUUCGGCUGGCUCAGAGGUUCCUGCAGUUGCACCAGGCCCUGCCCAAGACCCUCCUAUCAGGGUCUGGGCCCUGGAGGCAGGGGGAGAACCCCCCUGCGGCUUGGCCAUUCUUCCCCAGCCCUUGUCUGGCCCAGCCUCCUCCCCCCUGCACACUCCCCACUGCCACAGCCUGCGCUGGGGCAGCAUUUCCUUCUUGGGCCCUUUAGAGCUGCCCCCAUGGGGACACUUCCAUCUUCUGGGCCAAGCACCAGAGCCAAUCCCAGCCAGUCCCAUCGUCCCCAGUCCGACUCCCUGACUCCUGGUGGCCCCUGGAAGCCAAGAGCCAAAGGCCGACCCCCCCAGAGUGCAACCCCACCCAUCUGCACUGGGGCCCCAGGGGUUCCCUUUACCAAACAGCCCCUGCAAACCCUUGUCAGAGAGAAAAUUGGGUGACUCCUGGAUGCUUUUAGUAAAGAGGUCUAAACAUUUCUUGAAUAA